UGAGAGCACUCAAUGGAUUUAGUAAAUCAAUAUAUUAAAUCUAACGCAUCCAAAUUUGUAUGCGUUAUAUUUAAUAUAUUGAUUUACUAAAUCCAUUGAGUGCUCUCA